GAGGGGUUAUUUUUCCGAGGGUUGUCCAAUGCACCGACAUGAUGAGAUUCCUGACAAAUUAUGUACACCUCACAAAGUGUCUCUCUGACACAGUACCAAUAGAGCCGUAACCAAACAGUAUAAAAUGAAGUUCUUUGGCUUAAAAGGGCACGGUAUGACACCCUGGCUGUCUUCCUUUCGGCGAAUCCAAAAACAGAUUUUUAACCCGAAAAAAGAUUGCGUGUUCCUUUCAGCAAAUCCAAAUUCGAAUUUUUGAUCCACCGAAUUCUUUUUGAAAGAUUCAUUUGGAUUUGAAAUCCUUGAAUCUAAAUCCAGAUUUUCGGAUUUGUCAUCACAUGCGCUCCUAUCACAGGGGAUUUGAACUUAAUUAAUUUUAAGAGUUUCUUUCACGCCGCCAUUAUAUUUGCGCGAUGCGAGGGAACGCUUGAGGGAAAUAUACCCGUAUUUAAAACUUGUAUGAUGGCAUACAUUGCUAAAACGCAAAAAUCCUUACUUUUAAUAUUACGUUGUCCACAUACCCAUGAAACCAGCUGGAUACGGCUUGUUUUUGUUUGGUUGUUUUUUUUUUUUUUAAUCUUUCGUUGCACUUUAUAAUGGCCGUAAAUGCAUCAUAAUAGUGCAAAUGCAUCAGCUUUUAAAGAGUGCCUAUGACGCGAUUUUUUUAUCUUAUUUGAAAGAGCUUUCAAAAUGAUGA